GACGAACGCUGGCGGCGUGCUUAACACAUGCAAGUCGAACGGAAAGGCCCUGCUUUUGUGGGGUGCUCGAGUGGCGAACGGGUGAGUAACACGUGAGUAACCUGCCCUUGACUUUGGGAUAACUUCAGGAAACUGGGACUAAUACCGGAUAGGAGCUCCUGCUGCAUGGUGGGGGUUGGAAAGUUUCGGCGGUGGGGGAUGGACUCGCGGCUUAUCAGCUGGUUGGUGGGGUAGUGGCUUACCAAGGCUUUGACGGGUAGCCGGCCUGAGAGGGUGACCGGCCACAUUGGGACUGAGAUACGGCCCAGACUCCUACGGGAGGCAGCAGUGGGGAAUAUUGCACAAUGGGCGGAAGCCUGGUGCAGCAGCGCCGCGUGCGGGAUGACGGCCUUCGGGUUGUAAACCGCUUUCGCCUGUGACGAAGCGUGAGUGACGGUAAUGGGUAAAGAAGCACCGGCUAACUACGUG
rnacentral:rRNA from 1 species